AGAUUACUCCAUGGAUCACAUGAAGAACAAUCCUUAAAUGAAAAAGGAGCAUAAAGCCCUUUUGUGUUCAAGACCAAUUACCUCAUGCCAAAAUAAAUGCUGGGAAGCUUCUAGAGCAGAUUUCCUGUGCUCUGAGAGGGUGAGUCACCACUCCCAGUGCUCCGGAUCACUGGUGGGAACCUUUGGGGACAUGCCUCCAUGUCAUUAUGCCCAACACCUUCAACUGCUGAAGGUACCGUCAUUCUGGAUGGGUCUCCCAGCAGAGUUCCAUGGAUUAUUAUGCAGGUGGUGGUUUGGCUACAACUACAAUAGCACCAGCAGCAUCUGGGGACCAGAGAGCCAACAGAUGUGGACAUGUGACCUUGACAGCUAGUGUACAGCUCUUCUCUCCUGUUUCCAGCUUACCAGCUAUCCACCAAUGGAGGUGAGACUAUCCUAAAGGAUAAAGUUACUGAUUUUUAUUGACAUUAAAAAGUCCAGAUAUGCAUGUUUUAGUCUUAAAGGUAACCAGGUAUCCUGGUAAAUGGAUAUCUGUAGUUCAGACCACAGUUAGAGAAUCUGCAUUCUUCUCAAACGCAUGUUAAUCAGUUGCCAGAACUGAUAACAUAUGAAGCCAUGAAGUUGCAGCAUAUUUCAGUAAAUCAAAUCUCAUUCCAACCACAUUAUUUCAACACAGUGUAAUUAAUUAAGUUUAGAGAUCACCCAGGCAAAGAGAACAAAAGAGCCCAUAUGUUUGGAAAUUUACAACUAAGUAUUUCAGUAACUGAUCAAAGAAGAAAUCAUACUGGGAAUUGCUUUUUUUUUUUGUGCUAGCUCCAGUUCUAUUUUAUUUUCUGUCACAUUUCCUCAAGUCUAAAGACUUGUUUUUAAGCUUGGGAGGGCAUCUCUAGCCUGGCCUCAGUGUGGCAAGCAGACCAUACGUUUAAGUAUCCCCAUGACGAUUUCUCCAUCUUUCUUCCUGUGCAGCUGCUUCAUCUCUGACAUACCCAGCUGCUUCCAGCCACCCAGACAGCCACUGUCCUCUCUUUCCACAGCUCAGGGUGAUAGCCCCCUCUACCUGGGCUUACAAUUGUCCUUGUGCUCUGCUGGAAAACACCUCCAGGCAGAGAGCUAUUGUUGGCUCAGCCAGUUUCUUUCUUUUCUUUCAGGAAACAUAGUCCUCUGUCACUUGUGGUAAAGUGUCUGAAAAUAGAUGGUUUAUAUAUUUGUAUUAUUAUGUUAUAUAUUUAUUUAUGCUUCCCUAGAGACUUAGCGGUAAAGGAUCCACCUGUCAAUACAGAUACCUGGGUCAGGAAGAUCCCCUGGAGAAGGAAAUGGCUAUCCAAUCCAGUAUUCUUGCCUGGAGAAUCCCACGGACAGAGGAGCCUGGUAGGCUACAGUUCACAGGGUUGCAAAGAGUUGGACACGACUUAGCAACUGGAUAACAGCAACAACAUUGAUUUCUAUGUAAAAUUUAUGUAUUUUAUUGUUUUCCAGUAGUUUGUGUAUCAAAUUGCAUCCCUGCCGAGGCCUGUCCACUGCUGGGCACAGCUCCCCAUCUAGGGCAUCUUCCCUUUUGCCUGGUCUUGUCCUCCUGUCUUCUUCUCUCCUCACAUCCUGGGCAGCUAACAGAGCCUGCUCUACAUGCUCAGUCCUUUACUAAAGGGAGAAAAAGCCCCAAAUUAUUUCAAACUGUUCCUGCCAUCUGUUCAAAAAAUUGCUGAGUAAAGGUUUUUCAAAGUCGCUUCUGUGUAUGUGUGUGUGUGUGUAUUGGCAGAAGACCAUAUAAAAGGAGAAAAAUCUAAAUUGAGAUUUUAAUAAAGUAUUCUGGCUAAAAACUCCGUAAUUACUGCAUUAGUUUAAUUUAAUCUCUCCCUUUCUCUCAGCAUGGACGUUGUUGAAUAUUAUGUGCCUGUGAUAAUUAAUUUUAUGUGUCAACUUGACUGGGCCAGAGGGUGCCCAGGUAUUUGUUUAACCAUUAUCCUAGCGGUGUCUGUGACGGAUGUUUCCGAAUGAGAUUAACAUUUGAAUCAGUAGAUUGAAUAGAGCAAAUUGCCCCUCAUUGUGGGGCACCACAAACAAUUCACUGAAGGGCUUAAAAGAACACAAAGGCUGAGUCAGGGAGAAUUUAUUCUCUCUGUGCUUGUGGCUGUCUUCAUUAGGCAUCUCCUGCCUUUGUACUUGGGACUUGGAACCACACCAUCAGCUCUCCUGGUCUCCAGUUUGUUAACUGUGGGUCUUGGGACCCUUAGCCUCCAUAAUCAAGAGAGCCAGUUCCUUAAACAUUCAAAAAACUAAGAUCAUGGCAUUUGGUCCCAUCACUUCAUGGCAAAUAGUUGGGGAAACAAUGGAAACAAUGACAGACUUUAUUUCCUUGGGCUCCAAAAUCACUGCAGAUGGUGAUUGCAGCCAUGAAAUUAAAAGAUGCUUGCUUCUUGAAAGAAAAGCUCUGAUAAACCUAGACAGCAUAUUAAAAAGCAGAGGCAUUACUUUGCCGACAAAGGUCCAUCUAGUCAAAGCUAUGGUUUUUCCAGUGGUCAUGUAUGGAUGUGAGAGUUGGACCAUAAAGAAAGCUGAAUGCCAAAGAACUGAUUCUUUUGAACCGUAGUGUUAGAGAAGACUCCUGAGAGUCCCUUGGACUGCAAGGAAAUCAAACCAGUCAAUCCUAAAGGAAAUUUCAAAUGAAUUCUUUUUAACGGCUGAGUAAUAUUCCAUUGUGUAUAUGUACCACAGCUUUCUUAUCCAUUCAUCUGCUGAUGGACAUCUAGGUUGUUUCCAUGUCCUGGCUAUUAUAAACAGUGCUGUGAUGAACAUUGGGGUACAUGUGUCUCUUUCAGUUCUGGUUUCCUCGGUGUGUAUGCCCAGCAGUGGGAUUGCUGGGUCAUAAGGUAGUUCUAUUUGCAAUUUUUUAAGGAAUCUCCACACUGUUCUCCAUAGUGGCUGUACUAGUUUGCAUUCCCACCAACAGUGUAGGAGGGUUCCCUUUUCUCCACACCCUCUCCAGCAUUUAUUGCUUGCAGAUUUUUGGAUCGCAGCCAUUCUGACUGGUGUGAAGUGGUACCUCAUUGUGGUUUUGAUUUGCAUUUCUCUAAUAAUGAGUGAUGUUGAGCAUCUUUUCAUGUGUUUGUUAGCCAUCCGUAUGUCUUCUUUGGAGAAAUGUCUAUUUAGUUCUUUGGCCCAUUUUUUGAUUGGGUAGUUUAUUUUUCUGGAAUUGAGCUACAUAAGUUUCUUGUAUAUUUUUGAGAUUAGUUGUUUGUCAGUUGCUUCAUUUGCUAUUAUUUUCUCCCAUUCUGAAGGCUGUCUUUUCACCUUGCUUAUAGUUUCUUUUGUUGUGCAGAAGCUUUUAAUUUUAAUUAGAUCCCAUUUGUUUAUUUUUGCUUUUAUUUCCAGUAUUCUGGGAGGUGGGUCAUAGAGGAUCCUGCUGUGAUUUAUGUCGGAGAGUGUUUUGCUUAUGUUCUCUUCUAGGAGUUUUAUAGUUUCUGGUCUUAUGUUUAGAUUUUUAAUCCAUUUUGAGUUCAUCUUUGUGUGUGGUGUUAGAAAGUGAUCCACCCAGCAAUCCCCCUGCUGGGCAUACACACUGAGGAAACUGGAAUAGAAAGAGACACAUGUACCCCAGUGUUCAUUACAGCACUGUUUAUAAUAGCCAGGACAUGGAUACAACCUAGAUGUCCAUCAGCAGAUGAAUGGAUAAGAAAGCUGUGGUACAUAUACACAAUGGAGUAUUACUCAGCCGUUAAAAAGAAUUCAUUUGAAUCAGUUCUGAUGAGAUGGAUGAAACUGGAGCCGAUUAUACAGAGUGAAGUAAGCCAGAAAGAAAAACACCAAUACAGUAUACUAACACAUAUAUAUGGAAUUUAGAAAGAUGGUAAUGAUGACCCUGUAUGCAAGACAGCAAAAGAGACACAGAUGUGUAGAGCGGACUUUUGGACUCUGAGGGAGAGGGAGAGGGUGGGAUGAUUUGGGAGAAUGGCAUUGAAACAUGUAUACUAUCAUGUAAGAAACAAAUCACCAGUCUAGGUUCGAUGCAGGAUGCAGGAUGCUUGGGGCUGGUGUGCAGGGAUGAUCUGGAGAGAUGAUGUGGGGUGGGAGGUGGGAGGGGGGUUCAUGUUUGGGAGCUCAUGUACACCCGUGGUGGAUUCAUGUCAAUGUAUGCCAAAACCAAUACAGUAUUGUAAAGCAAAAUAAAGUAAAAAUAAAAAUAAAAAUAAAAAACAAAUACAAAAAAAACAACUUUCAAUUUUUACUGAUUUUCUUUCUCUGGGGAAUUCAAACUAAUAGAGUGUCUUAUUAAAUGAUUUCAGUUCUGUGAAGUUUU
rnacentral:lncRNA from 1 species